rnacentral:rRNA from 1 species
UACGUAGGGGGCGAGCGUUAAUCGGAAUUACUGGGCGUAAAGGGUGCGUAGGCGGUUCGUUAAGUCUGUCGUGAAAUCCCCGGGCUCAACCUGGGAAUGGCGAUGGAAACUGGCGAGCUAGAGUGUGUCAGAGGAUGGUGGAAUUCCCGGUGUAGCGGUGAAAUGCGUAGAGAUCGGGAGGAACAUCAGUGGCGAAGGCGGCCAUCUGGGACAACACUGACGCUGAAGCACGAAAGCGUGGGGAGCAAACAGG